AUUGAACGCUGGCGGCAUGCCUUACACAUGCAAGUCGAACGGCAGCACGGGAGCAAUCCUGGUGGCGAGUGGCGAACGGGUGAAUAAUGUAUCGGAACGUACCUUUCAGUGGGGGAUAACGUAGCGAAAGUUACGCUAAUACCGCAUAUUCUGUGAGCAGGAAAGCAGGGGAUCGCAAGACCUUGCGCUGAUUGAGCGGCCGAUAUCAGAUUAGCUAGUUGGUGAGGUAAAGGCUCACCAAGGCGACGAUCUGUAGCGGGUCUGAGAGGAUGAUCCGCCACACUGGAACUGAGACACGGUCCAGACUCCUACGGGAGGCAGCAGUGGGGAAUUUUGGACAAUGGGCGCAAGCCUGAUCCAGCCAUGCCGCGUGAGUGAAGAAGGCCUCGGUU
rnacentral:rRNA from 1 species